rnacentral:rRNA from 1 species
AAUCAACGCUGGCGGCGUGCCUAACACAUGCAAGUCGCACGAGAAAGGGCAGCAAUGCCUGAGUACAGUGGCGCACGGGUGAGUAACACGUGAAUGAUCUACCUCCGAGUGGGGAAUAACUGAGAGAAAUCUUAGCUAAUACCGCAUAACACUUACGAGUCAAAGCAGCAAUGCGCUUGGAGAGGAGUUCGCGGCAGAUUAGUUAGNGGCGGGGUAAUGGCCCACCAAGACGAUGAUCUGUAUCCGGCCUGAGAGGGCGCACGGACACACUGGAACUGAAACACGGUCCAGACUCCUACGGGAGGCAGCAGUGGGGAAUUUUGCGCAAUGGGGGAAACCCUGACGCAGCAACGCCGCGUGGAGGAUGAAAUCCCUUGGGAUGUAAACUCCUUUCGAUCGGGAAGAUAAUGACGUACCGAGAGAAGAAGCCCGGCUAACUUCGUGCCAGCCGCCGCCGUAAU